CCUCUUCAGCUUCUUACUCAUUCUGUCUAUUAAUCAGAGAUAAACUACCAAAGAAAAACAGAAAAAACUGGAGUCUUUCUUUGGGGGAGGGGCUGGGUGUGUUAUCGAGCUUCCUCUACAGACUGCAGGUGGCAGCAGUGAGGCACUAGCAGGACUGUGCUGCGCCUGCGCUCUGAGAUCCCAGAGCGUGCUGAGUCACUAAGGGGGGGGAAGGGGAGGGCGGCCAGGUCCUGAGAGACUUCAGCUGUUUGCGGUUGUAUUCUUCAGCCCCGGUGUUUUUAGCUUCUCUGCUGGGCUGUUGACUUGCUGCCGGAGGAAAUUAUCCAAACCUGUAGCGAAGCUCUCCCCGCAGAGACAGCUGCGAUCACUCCCCACCCCCUCUCCAGUCUGCUCCCGUGCCCUCACUGCCGCUGCCCGCCGCCUGUGCCCGAUCUAAAACCGUCCCAGCCCUCCAGUAAAGACAGACCUUUCUUGGCGGAUCUCAAGGAUGGCUUCUCUUGAAACAUUCUGAAGGAGUUUGACUAUCUGGCUUAGCAAAUACAAGUUUUUCCAGAUGGGAAAAGUAUAGACACACACAAAGGUUAAAUAAGUCAACCCAGAUCACCCUCCCAGGAAGUGACCUUCUCCCUCCACCAGCCAAAUUUCCUGAUUCUGCUUUUAGUCGGUGCCCGAGCAAGCAAACUGUCCUGUCAGUCUGAAAUGGAAAUCAGGGCACGCCAAGCUCAAGGUCCUCGGAGCAACAUCAUCUACCUGGGUAUUCAUCAUUUUCAAUGACUAGCCCGGCUGCUCGAAGGCAGCUUUUCAUGUCUACAUUGCGAGCCGUGUGGGCGAUUUCACUUUCCUGGGAGAACGACAACCCCUUCAUUUUCCUUUUUUCCUUUAAUUUCAUAUUUCCAUUCUAAACACUGUAUUACCAGGCUAAGGUUUUUAUCUAACCAACAGAUUAAAGAGGGUUAUAUUUCAUGAAGGUUAUAACCAGCAAUGCAAAUUCUCACUCUGUGAAAUAAGUCACAAGAAAUGUGCCCAUGGAGGUGAGGGACUCGAGUGCCCUUGGCAGGGUUGGAGGAGAGGGAAUUUCCUUUUUGCGCCCUCUCUUCUUCACCUGAGCAUCUACUCUGUACAUAGCAAUGAGCUACCCAAAGGGGUCUAAGAGAGGAUCCUUUCUCUUAAGAAGAUUAAAACUGAG